UGUCUGGGUUUGAAAUUCAACAAUUUAUUUGUCUGUCGUCGUUUUUGUGCAAAGUCAGUUAAUGUCCGUUAAAGCUAAACCGUUGGCUGGCCUCUUGGAAAAACAUCUGUUACUCUGAAAAGAAUGAAAGGCUGUCCGGAUGACUGAGAGGAGAUCCUCUUUUUGAGACAGACCAGAGGACGCAUUUCUUCCAAGUGCACAUUUAUGGAAUAAAAACAGGCAUCAUGUCAGGGAAGUCGGAUGUAAAGAACAAGUGGGCGGCAGUCCGAGGCCGCCUUGGCUCUUCUCAGGACUCAGACACCCAGCAGGAAGCCAACCUGGAGAGUGCUGAUCCGGAGCUCUGCAUUCGGCUGCUGCAAGUCCCCACUGUGGUUAACUACUCGGGGCUGAAGCGCCGCCUGGAGGGCAGCGACCAGACAUGGAUGGUGCAGUUUCUGGAGCUGAGCGGGUUGGAUCUCCUCCUGGAAGCCCUGGACCGGCUCUCAGGGCGGGGAUGCUCUCGUAUCGCAGACGCCCUCCUGCAACUCACCUGCGUCAACUGCGUCAGGGCGGUCAUGAACUCCUCUGCGGGAAUCGACUUCAUUAUAGAAAAUGAGGGAUACAUACGGCAGCUCUCACAAGCCUUGGACACUUCCAACAUCAUGGUGAAGAAGCAAGUGUUUGAGCUGCUUGCCGCUCUCAGCAUGUUCUCCGCAGAAGGCCACCGCCUGGCGCUCGACGCCCUGGAUCACUACAAGGGUGUGAAGACGCGGCAGUAUCGCUUCAGUGUGAUCAUGAACGAGAUGCAGGCCACAGAUAAUGUCCCGUACAUGGUCACGCUACUCAGUGUCAUCAACGCCAUCAUCUUUGGGACGGAUGACCUCAGGCAGAGAGACCGGACGAGAAAGGAGUUUAUAGGGCUUCAGCUGCUUGAUAUUCUGCCAAAGUUAAGGGAGCAGGAGGAUGAAGAUUUGAUAAUUCAAUGCGAAGCUUUUGAAGAGGCGAUGACUGAGGAUGAUGAAGAGCUGCUGCGGGUCUACGGGGGCAUCGACAUGAGUAAUCACCUGGAGGUUUUUACUACACUCUUCAACAAGGUGAGCAGCUCCCCGGCCUCCCUGCAGCUGCUCUCCAUCCUGCAGACGUUGUUGGUGCUGGGUCCAGGCCGCUCAGAUAUCUGGCUGGCUCUGGAAGCCAUCACUAACAGAGCCACGCUGCUGGCCCAGGACUCUCAGAUGGAGUCGAGUGAGAAGAUCAUGCAGCGGCUGAUCUUCUCCAAAGGGCAGAGCUGUGCUGGUCACCAUGAAGUCGACGGGCUGCUCCUGAAGGUGGAUAAAGCUGUUCAGACUGAUGAGCACGACGGAGUGAAGACAGACAAAAUCACCACAUCCUCUCAGAAGCUGCUGUGUGCCCCCCCUCCUCCUCCUCCUCCACCUCCUCUACCCCUGAGUAUCACUGGGCCCCCACCUCCUCCUCCACCUCCACCUCCUCCUCCGCCACUUCCUGGAGGAUUUGGCGGCUCUCCACCACCUCCUCCUUUACCAGGAAUGGCGCCGCCACCACCUCCACCACCACUGCCCGGUUGCCCAGGCAUGCCUCCCCCACCCCCUCCGCCCCCGUUGCUAGGGAUGGGUUUUGGACCCCCACCGCCACCUCCCUUACCUGGCAUGCCGCCUCCACCUCCUCCUCCACCUGGUAUGAUAAUGGCUCAGAGCAGCCAGGUGCUGGGUUUUGCUGCGCCUGUAAAGGCCAGCAGAUGCCCCACACUGAGGAUGAAGAAGCUCAACUGGCAGAAACUGCGAGCUGUAACAGAUGGUCACUCCAUGUGGGCCUCGGUUCAGAAAGAGCCUCCUCCUCAUGAGCCGGACUACAGCAGUAUCGAGCAGCUGUUCUGUCUCCCGGUGACCGAGCACAAAGACAAGGGGGCAGCUGCUCCUGUCAAGAAGGAGCCUAAAGAGAUUACAUUUAUUGAUCCAAAGAAAAACUUGAAUUUAAACAUAUUCCUGAAGCAGUUUAGAUGCACUAAUGAGGACUUUAUAGCCAUGAUUCAGAAAGGGGACCGAUCUAGGUUUGAUGUAGAGGUGCUGAAGCAGCUUCUGAAGCUCCUACCAGAGAAGCAUGAGAUUGAGAAUUUGAAAUCAUUCCAAGGAGAAAAAGAGAAGCUGGCAAAUGUUGAUCGUUUCUACACCCUCCUGCUCACAGUGCCAAGUUAUCAGCUGAGGAUUGAGUGCAUGUUAUUGUGCGAGGAGACUUCAUCAGUGCUGGAAAUGAUGAAACCAAAAGCAAAGCUGGUAGAGGAAGCGUGCCAGUCCCUCAGAGAGAGCACGCUCAUGCCUAGUUUCUGCAGGCUCAUCCUGGAUGUUGGGAAUUUUCUCAACUACGGAAGUCACACAGGGAAUGCUGAGGGCUUCAAGAUCAGCUCUCUGCUCAAGCUUACAGAAACGAAGGCCAACAAGGGCCGCAUUACGCUGCUUCAUCACAUCCUGGAGGAAGCGGAGGUGAACCACCCAGAGCUGCUGGAUCUUCCAGAUGAUAUUGAGAUCUGUGAAAAAGCAGCUGGAGUUAAUCUGGACUCUGUUCAGUCAGAAGCCAGUGCCUUACUAAAACGACUGAACGAGACGGCCAAGAAGGUCUCCAAUUCCAAUGAAGAGGUGAAGGAACAGUUUGCCAAAGUUCUUGAGGAAAGUGUGGAGGCAUGUCAAACUCUAACUGAAAGGUUCAAUGCAAUUGAGAAGAAGAAGAGCGCGCUGGCUGUCUACUUAUGUGAGGACACAAAUCAGCUGUCUCUUGAGGAUCUCUUUGGAACCAUCAGGACUUUCCGGGGACUUUUCAUCAAGUCACUGAAGGAAAACAAAAUGAGGAGAGAGCAGGCAGCCAAGGCAGAGAAGAGGAAGAAGCAGCUGGCUGAGGAAGAAUCCAAGAGACAGAAGGGAGAAAACGGAAAAAUAAUCAAGAAAGGCUUUGUGCCACAGAACGACGGCUGCAUCAUCGACCAUCUCCUGGCGGAUAUCAGGAAAGGUUUCAGCCUAAGAAAGACCCGGCCCAGGUGCGAUUCGGAAAGCCUCCCUUCUAGUGAAAAGCGUAGGGAUACCUGCCAGUCUGGACCAGGUGUGAAGCCUGUAGAAGAAGAGGCCGCAGAAGCAGCAACCAUUUCCGCUCUCACCAAACCUCAGACAGAGGAUCACCAGCCCGCCGCAGGCGAAGUGAACGGUUUCAUCAGCCCUUCAGAAGAGAAUCCACCAGCACUGCAGGGUACAGUGCAAGACGGACCAGCUGCACCUCCCAGCACACCCCCAGUAAAAGCAGCCAUGACGAUACAAACACCUCUGGAAAGGCCGACAUUGCUGCCAGAGGAGCAACACCCACAGGAACCUUCAGUUUCACCGCUAGACAUGACACAACCUCAACCCCAAGUUAAAGAGGAACACCAACCAUGUCCCCCCACAACAAAUGGCUUUUCACCUGAUUCAACUGAGACCAGCGCCCUCAGCCCAUCUUCCCUCUCCGAUUCAGACCUGAUGGAGGCUGUGUUAGACCGCUCAGUACCUGAGAGGCUGUUACCUGGGGAAACGGCGAAUACCAGUGUUAAUGUUAAAAUCAAAGAAAGUCCUUUCCCAAAAACAGACAAUGUGAAACAGAGUGAAAGCAAUACACCGGGAGAAGAGAAUGGUGAAACUAGUAAUAAAAUAAGCCAUUUAACAAAGGCCGGAGGACGAGAGGAGCAGGCGCACAUUAUCGUAAAAACACACAACCAAGAUGAGGUCAUCGGCACCAAACAUUCGGACCCAAAGAGCAAUGUGACCGCACUUAUUGAGGGCAUCGAGGGGUGUGAUGUCCCAGAUGGACUGGAAUCAGAGAUUCAAGAAUUGCCAUCAGUCUCUGAAGCAUUGCCUCCAUCCCUUAAACCUGAACCAAAGAAACAGGGAGGCUUCUUUAAGCGAAACAAAAAGAAGAGUAAUUCAGGUAAUCCGUCCAUAUAUCUCAAUAAAAAUCAUGUUUGGAAUGCUAGUAGCUUGAUGUGUCUUGAAGGGAAGUCUUUAUUUAUUUUGUUUUUAUUCCAUUUAACGUUUUAUAUUUUAUGUAUUGGCUAUUUUAGUGUUUAUUCCUAACUACUAAGCAUGUGACAUGCAUUUUAUUAAAGAGUUUGGAUGCAGUGUGCAGCCCUUGAUUUGCAGAUUGAAUAUUGAAUGGAUGUAAAUAUGGCCAGUCUGUUUGAAUGCUCUGUUUUCCGUUCUGAAACACAAGGUGGGAAAGGACACACUAAACAUAAAAAGGGCUGUGUGUUGCAGUGAGGUAGGUCAAAAACGGUGGGAUGGCAAACUGUAAGCAGGAACAUCAUCCGAAUGAGUUCAAUCACCGUCAAAGCUUUGUCCUAAAUAACACAUCAUUUGUUGGUCUAACUGGAUUAACUGGAUUUCAUUUGUCUCUGUUGUCCAGCUUUAACACUUGCUCUCUCUUCAAUGCUUUUGCAAGUCAGUUGUGGUCAGGCCAAAAUCCUAACAGCAUUCGACCAAAUGUGUGUUGAGGUGAUUCUAAUGCCCAUCAAACCAGGGGAAUACUAACCCUAAAGGUGAAUGCAGAAAAAGGAAAUCAAGAGGAAAAAGAAAAUGUUAAUGUCGCUGAACUGGACGGACUGAAUUGUAUUUUAGUUGACAAGAAAAUGAGAUUUGACUCCUUCUGGUGGAUGCAGAAUUCUUCCUUUUGCAAUGAUUUGCUUUUUGAGACUGAGAAGAGGAAACUCAACAAAGGCUGGGAUCUACUCAACGAGGAUGUUAACAUGUCACUUUAUGUAAAUGAGUUGCAGCUUUUGUGUAUUUGAUUGCUUUGGUGAAUAUGCUUUCUAUGUUUUGUAAAAUUGUUAUAUGCAGUGAAUGUGUUUUGCUAUAAGCUUUAAUAGCUGCUUGGCACCUGUAUACAGAGGAAGAUGCAGUGUUUGGUACAAGAUA